rnacentral:rRNA from 1 species
AUAUUGCGCAAUGGGCGGAAGCCUGACGCAGCGACGCCGCGUGGGGGAUGACGGCCUUCGGGUUGUAAACCUCUUUCAGCAGGGACGAAGUUGACGUGUACCUGCAGAAGAAGCGCCGGCUAACUACGUGCCAGCAGCCGCGGUAAUACGUAGGGCGCAAGCGUUGUCCGGAAUUAUUGGGCGUAAAGAGCUCGUAGGUGGCUGGUCGCGUCUGCCGUGAAAGCCCGCAGCUUAACUGCGGGUCUGCGGUGGAUACGGGCCGGCUAGAGGUAGGCAGGGGCAAGUGGAAUUCCUGGUGUAGCGGUGAAAUGCGCAGAUAUCAGGAGGAACACCGGUGGCGAAGGCGGCUUGCUGGGCCUUACCUGACGCUGAGGAGCGAAAGCGUGGGGAGCGAACAGG